UGUUGAUGAUAUGUUGAUUAUAGUUAUGAUCCGCAGGAAAACAUGUGAGGAAUAUGUUUCUCAAGAGGAAUAAUAAUUUUGGGUUUAUCAUCAUUAAAAAGGGUGAUCUAAGUUACUCUAUGUCAUAUUUUGAUGAUGACAAACGUUCUCAACAAACUGGGUACGGACCACCAUAUGAUCAAUGCAUGCAAGGAAUCUGAUUCUCAGGGGGAGUAAUUCUGGGUUUGUCAUUCAUAAAAAAGGGGAAAUUGAUAAGUUCUGGUGCUUUGAGAUUUGAUGAUUUUCCAAACAGUCUUGAGGAACCAGUUGUGAUAAGAUCCUUAGGUUCGGUUCUCAUGGGGUAUAUGGUUGAUUCAUAGGGGGAAUAAUGUGGAGAUCUAGUUUUCAGAGGGAAUAUAAAUUCUAAGUUUGUCGUCAUCAAAAAGGAAGAAAUUGAUAGGCUACAAAUACCUUGGGCAUAAGUACUUUAAUUUAUGUUUUGAUGAUCUAACAAACUUACCAUCCAG
rnacentral:lncRNA from 1 species